rnacentral:rRNA from 1 species
UACGUAGGGGGCGAGCGUUGUCCGGAUUUAUUGGGCGUAAAGCGCGCGUAGGCGGCCCGGUAAGUCCGCUGUGAAAGUCAAAGGCUCAACCUUUGAAUGUCAGCGGAUACUGCCGGGCUAGAGUCCGGAAGAGGCGAGUGGAAUUCCUGGUGUAGCGGUGGAAUGCGCAGAUAUCAGGAGGAACACCAACGGCGAAGGCAGCUCGCUGGGACGGUACUGACGCUGAGGCGCGAAAGCGUGGGGAGCGAACAGG